GCAGCGAGAAUUUGGAGCGGAGGUUGCAGUCGUCUUCUUAGUGCACUCAAAAAGCAGAUUUAAAAGAGAGCAAAGGAGAAGACAGAGCCGCCGUUGAAAGAAUUAAAUUCUCGAGAAGAUCGCUUACUGAGUGGUUCCAUCGAUCGCGAUCAUUCGCAAUAGCCCUACCCAUCAGGUUGACUUCAUCAGUCUUAAAUGUUGGGGAUACAUGUGAAAACGUGAGGAUGCACAUCCCUAGAUCCCAGGUAUGAUUUUAGAGGUACUUCUUCCGCUUGAUCUUAGACUCAAGCGUAGGGGGAUAGUGUUACGGUGGUACUACAGAUACCUCGGAUCAGUGUGAUACUUCAGAUCAGUGGGCUAUGCCGAUCCAAAUAUCGAGUUGAGGUAUAUGGAACCGAGCUAUUUGCAUCCAGUCUGAUGUGUGGCCUAUCUGACACGUAAGUUUCCUUCAUUAUCUCAGUCAAUUUUUUGGCACAUGCAGCAGCUGUCCAGCCUAAGUGGAUAAGCUCAGAUGUAAUUGACUCUCCAUAAUCUUGCGGGAGCAUAUAAAGGUUAGAAUAUCUCGCCUACAACAGUAUGUCCAACAAUCCGACAAUCUUGGAACUGUGCAUUUUCAUGGUUGUUCAACCGUAUUCUCUAUAAAUAACUAAGGCCCCGAGGAUCCAGGUAAGUAAUCCAUCUUAGCGAAUCACUUAUUGCUUUUGCUGUUCGCUGAUUCCUGACUUGAGUGUCGGAGGAUCCUCAUUGGAGCGAAAACCUCUGGCCCGGACUCUGUUUUGCAGGUCACUCCAGCAUCUCUGCGCAAGACCUAGCCACCCACCUUCUGACCUCAACCGGAACCAGCAGCAACAGUUAUGUUUGAAGAAUACAACUCCAAAUUGGUACAAGCCCAUGGGUCGUAUCAUGCAUCAAAUUCUGUGAUGUCAAUCCAUCAUGAG
rnacentral:lncRNA from 1 species